UAGAGUUUGAUCAUGGCUCAGAUUGAACGCUGGCGGCAGGCCUAACACAUGCAAGUCGAGCGGUAGAGAGAAGCUUGCUUCUCUUGAGAGCGGCGGACGGGUGAGUAAUGCCUAGGAAUCUGCCUGGUAGUGGGGGAUAACGUUCGGAAACGGACGCUAAUACCGCAUACGUCCUACGGGAGAAAGCAGGGGACCUUCGGGCCUUGCGCUAUCAGAUGAGCCUAGGUCGGAUUAGCUAGUUGGUGGGGUAAUGGCUCACCAAGGCGACGAUCCGUAACUGGUCUGAGAGGAUGAUCAGUCACACUGGAACUGAGACACGGUCCAGACUCCUACGGGAGGCAGCAGUGGGGAAUAUUGGACAAUGGGCGAAAGCCUGAUCCAGCCAUGCCGCGUGUGUGAAGAAGGUCUUCGGAUUGUAAAGCACUUUAAGUUGGGAGGAAGGGCUGUAGAUUAAUACUCUGCAAUUUUGACGUUACCGACAGAAUAAGCACCGGCUAACUCUGUGCCAGCAGCCGCGGUAAUACAGAGGGUGCAAGCGUUAAUCGGAAUUACUGGGCGUAAAGCGCGCGUAGGUGGUUUGUUAAGUUGGAUGUGAAAUCCCCGGGCUCAACCUGGGAACUGCAUUCAAAACUGACUGACUAGAGUAUGGUAGAGGGUGGUGGAAUUUCCUGUGUAGCGGUGAAAUGCGUAGAUAUAGGAAGGAACACCAGUGGCGAAGGCGACCACCUGGACUAAUACUA
rnacentral:rRNA from 1 species